rnacentral:tRNA from 1 species
GGGCCUGUAGCGCAGUUGGGAGCGCAUCACAUUCGCAUUGUGGGGGUCGGGAGUUCGAAUCUCCUCAGGUCCACCA